rnacentral:rRNA from 1 species
UACGUAGGUCCCGAGCGUUGUCCGGAUUUAUUGGGCGUAAAGGGAGCGCAGGUGGUUUAUUAAGUCUGGUGUAAAAGGCAGUGGCUCAACCAUUGUAUGCAUUGGAAACUGGUAGACUUGAGUGCAGGAGAGGAGAGUGGAAUUCCAUGUGUAGCGGUGAAAUGCGUAGAUAUAUGGAGGAACACCGGUGGCGAAAGCGGCUCUCUGGCCUGUAACUGACACUGAGGCUCGAAAGCGUGGGGAGCAAACAGG